rnacentral:rRNA from 1 species
UACGAAGGGGGCUAGCGUUGUUCGGAAUUACUGGGCGUAAAGGGCGCGUAGGCGGCGCAAGUAGUCAGGCGUGAAAUUCCUGGGCUUAACCUGGGGGCUGCGCUUGAUACGCUUGUGCUAGAGGAUGGAAGAGGCUCGUGGAAUUCCCAGUGUAGAGGUGAAAUUCGUAGAUAUUGGGAAGAACACCGGUGGCGAAGGCGGCGAGCUGGUCCAUUACUGACGCUGAGGCGCGACAGCGUGGGGAGCAAACAGG